UACGAAGGUGGCAAGCGUUGUUCGGAUUUACUGGGCGUAAAGGGCGCGUAGGCGGCGCAACAAGUCACUUGUGAAAUCUCCGGGCUUAACCCGGAGCGGCCAAGUGAUACUGUCGUGCUAGAGUGCGGAAGGGGCUACUGGAAUUCUCGGUGUAGCGGUGAAAUGCGUAGAUAUCGAGAGGAACACCUGCGGCGAAGGCGGGUGGCUGGGCCGACACUGACGCUGAUGCGCGAAAGCCAGGGGAGCGAACGGG
rnacentral:rRNA from 1 species